GAUGAACGCUGGCGGCGUGCCUAAUACAUGCAAGUCGAGCGAACAGAUAAGGAGCUUGCUCCUUUGACGUUAGCGGCGGACGGGUGAGUAACACGUGGGUAACCUACCUAUAAGACUGGGAUAACUUCGGGAAACCGGAGCUAAUACCGGAUAACAUUUGGAACCGCAUGGUUCUAAGGUGAAAGAUGGUUUUGCUAUCACUUAUAGAUGGACCCGCGCCGUAUUAGCUAGUUGGUAAGGUAACGGCUUACCAAGGCGACGAUACGUAGCCGACCUGAGAGGGUGAUCGGCCACACUGGAACUGAGACACGGUCCAGACUCCUACGGGAGGCAGCAGUAGGGAAUCUUCCGCAAUAGGCGAAAGCCUGACGGAGCAACGCCGCGUGAGUGAUGAAGGGUUUCGGCUCGUAAAACUCUGUUAUUAGGGAAGAACAAAUGUGUAAGUAACUGUGCACGUCUUGACGGUACCUAAUCAGAAAGCCACGGCUAACUACGUG
rnacentral:rRNA from 1 species